UACCAACCCCUAAGAACCAGUUUUCUGUUUCGCUCACGGAACAUAAAAAAUAAAAUAACACAUAACAAAUCCUAAGAUAUGCUCUUCGUUUUUCUCCAUUCUCUUUGAUUUUCAGAGUACUGAUUGCUGGUUUUAGAUUCAUGGAACAGAAAUUGGGGUAAAAGAAAUCUGCCAAACAACUAAACCAUAAUCGUGAACAAGAGUAUAGAACUGAUAAUGGUGGUGCUGCUGAUAUACUACGAGGCAAAAUGAAUUGAUAGGAACUAAAAUGAAUUGGGUCAGUACAUUGAAAAGUUGAGUAUCUUAGGUGCGCUGCACAAACUGAUAAUGUGUUAAGUUGAAUGGUCCAUAAUUAUAAAUGGAUUAUUCCGGAUGAUUCAUCUGACAUUCGUAAGCGGAUUUCUGGGGCAUAGAUUUGUUAUUCUGGUAUUGGAAUAACGCUUCAACUCCAUCUUUCAGUUUGAAUUUUCUUCCAAAGGUAUGGCUGCACAUGACGAUAAUGAAUUUUCUUACAGUUUGCCUCCAGAAUUGUCUUCAUGGAAGGUUCAAUAUGAAUUAUGUUAUAUUUCAACUGGUUUUUUUUCUUCUUUUUCUCCUAUUUAUAGGAAAUUAUUUGAAAAUGUUGUAGAAGUGGGAAGCACAUACAAAGUAAAGAAACAAGAUGAGAUACUUAGUGCUGCUAAUUUUGCGGCAAAAAUGUGUUACAAGGUGCCUGUCUGCUCUGAUAUACAACAACCAAGUUUAUGCAAAGUAGGACCUUGCACUACUUUAUUAAAGAAGCAGGCUUAGACGCUUACCCAAUUGCAGUGAACAACGCAGUCAACCUAAGGUGCACAAUACUUAUGGAGCUAUAAUGUUCCUCACUUUGAUCCGGAAUCAUGGCAAUACAAUCACAAUGCAAAAAUGGAAUAAUAUAGCUCGGAGGUGGUAUGCACUUCACUCCAGACCAUAGUAUCCAAGCCAAUACGUUCAAGUAUACAUGCGUUUUGGAUGCCACCAAGUUUACAUGAGAAUCCGGCCAAUGGAGUGCACCUUCCAGACACACCAAUGACUGGUGGUCAGAUUGGAAAUCAGGACCCUCGCUCGCCAAACUUAACCAACUUUCUUACCUACAAUUUACUUUCUAAUCACGGUGAGAACAUGAUUUUGUGAGUUGUCCACAGUGAUUCUCUAAUAUUGGUUUAUUUGUUCCCUCUCUCAAUUAGUAGUCUACACUAGAUAUGGAGAAGGCACUCCUUCGCCAGGUUGUAAGCCUUUCAUCAGAACAAACUAAUAUACUUCCACCAGAACAAAAGGAAUCAAGUACUUCUAUAUAAGAAACAAAGUGUUUGGUGGUGAGUGCAGAGUUGGAGAAACGGAUACAAAGAUCAAGAAAGGUAUAUAGUCUUUACAGUAUUUAGUUAUAAUGUUUUGUUUUCUCACUUUAUAUUUUCAGGCACGAAAUUUUUGGUCUGAAUGUCACAAUCAGUUGGAUUAUGGUAGUCACUUUCAGAUCAUAUGACCAAGGUAGAAGUACUCGUAUGAUAUUUUAAAUUUUAGUUCAUUGAAACAUUGGGUGCUGUUUUUUAGCCCUUAAGUUUGAGAUAUUAGUUCUACUUCAGCAGGAGGUUCAAAUUACCAAUUUUAAGGCUAGACUAUCUGAUUGACUGCACGAAAAGGAAGUAAGUGAUCUCAUUUUAUCAAUGUGUAAUUGAGCCCUCUUCUAAGGAUUCCAGAUGUUCAGUGGAUGAGAAGCUUUAUGUUGUGGAUGAUGUUUAAGUCUGCAAGGUUAUAGUCACGGAAAACUGUACCUAUCUGCUGGCGUCAAUAGUUACUUUCACCUGGAGUACUUCUAGAUUUUUGUCAAAUGGCAUGGGUGAUAAUUUUCAUUGAUUUAUCAUAUGCUGCAUUUCUUCAAGUAGCUCUUCCAAUAACUUUUAUGCAAUUUACAGUUAUCAUAUACUGCAUAUCAUCUAAAAAAUUUCUUUAUCAACUUUGGGGAUUUCUCAAAAGUGGACGCCAUUAAAGAAAAUUUUAACAGUGUCAUUUCUUAGUUUUUUGGCUUUUCUUAGUUCAUUGGCUUUUCUAUGUAAUAAUUACCCUACUUUGGAUAAACUCAUAUGUUCUCAUGCAA